rnacentral:rRNA from 1 species
GGGCCCGCACAAGCGGUGGAGCAUGUGGUUUAAUUCGAUGCAACGCGAAGAACCUUACCAGGACUUGACAUACUACAAAUUCUUUUGAGAAAAAGAAGUGCCUUCGGGAAUGUAGAUACAGGUGGUGCAUGGCUGUCGUCAGCUCGUGUCGUGAGAUGUUGGGUUAAGUCCCGCAACGAGCGCAACCCUUAUUUUUAGUUACCAAUUCGUUGGGUUCUCUAGAAAGACUGCCGGUGACAAACCGGAGGAAGGUGAGGAUGACGUCAAGUCAGCAUGCCCCUUAUGUCCUGGGCUACACACGUGCUACAAUGGUUAAGACAAAGAGUUGCGAGCUCGCAAGGGUCAGCUAAUCUCAUAAACUUAGCCUAAGUUCAGAUUGUAGGCUGCAACUCGCCUACAUGAAGUUGGAAUC